GCCAGCAGCCGCGGUAAUACGUAGGGUGCGAGCGUUAAUCGGAAUUACUGGGCGUAAAGCGUGCGCAGGCGGUUUGCUAAGACAGGUGUGAAAUCCCCGGGCUUAACCUGGGAACUGCGCUUGUGACUGGCAGGCUAGAGUACGGCAGAGGGGGGUGGAAUUCCUGGUGUAGCAGUGAAAUGCGUAGAGAUCAGGAGGAACACCGAUGGCGAAGGCAGCCCCCUGGGCCUGUACUGACGCUCAUGCACGAAAGCGUGGGGAGCAAACAGGAUUAGAUACCCUGGUAGUCCACGCCCUAAACGAUGUCGACUAGUCGUUCGGAGCAGCAAUGCACUGAGUGACGCAGCUAACGCGUGAAGUCGACCGCCUGGGGAGUACGGCCGCAAGGUUAAAACUCAAAGGAAUUGACGGGG
rnacentral:rRNA from 1 species